GGGGACUUUGGGCCCCAGGGUAACAGCUUGACCUCUGGAGGCACUGGAGACAAAGAUCAGCCACGUGGCAGUCAACCAUGUCUAUCUGACCAAGUUCCAAUGAAAACUCUGGACACCAAGGCUUGGGAGAUAUUUCUCAAAAGACUCCUCUGCGGGAGAGGAGAAUAGAGAAAGAAAGAAAACAACUGUGUAAGCAGACAUCAGUGUAAACCUUAGCACUGUCUCUUGAUGAGAUAAGAGGAGGAUGGCAGUGACAGGAGUGUGGUGGCGAGCCAGUCACCUGCAGUCAACCACGGCUCAUUGCUCUCACCAUGCCUGUUACAUGAAGGUAUGUAUGUAUAGGAAAAAGCACUGAAAAACUCUCCAGUUUCAGGCAUCCACUGGGGAUCUUGGAACGCAUCCUCCAAGGAUAAGUGGGGUCUA
rnacentral:lncRNA from 1 species